rnacentral:rRNA from 1 species
UCCUACGGGAGGCAGCAGUGGGGAAUCUUAGACAAUGGGGGCAACCCUGAUCUAGCCAUGCCGCGUGAGUGAUGAAGGCCUUAGGGUCGUAAAGCUCUUUCGCCUGUGAUGAUAAUGACAGUAGCAGGUAAAGAAACCCCGGCUAACUCCGUGCCAGCAGCCGCGGUAAUACGGAGGGGGUUAGCGUUGUUCGGAAUUACUGGGCGUAAAGCGCGCGUAGGCGGAUUAGAAAGUUGGGGGUGAAAUCCCGGGGCUCAACCUCGGAACUGCCUCCAAAACUGCUAGUCUAGAGUUCGAGAGAGGUGAGUGGAAUUCCGAGUGUAGAGGUGAAAUUCGUAGAUAUUCGGAGGAACACCAGUGGCGAAGGCGGCUCACUGGCUCGAUACUGACGCUGAGGUGCGAAAGUGUGGGGAGCAAACAGGAUUAGAUACCCUGGUAGUCCACACCGUAAACGAUGAAUGCCAGUCGUCGGGUAGUAUACUAUUCCGUGACACACACUAAUGGGAUUAUACAUUCUCUCC